GACCCAUCUCUGUGCCUUGGGAGAGGAGGACACCCGCCCCGGGGUCCCUCUGGGCUGCAGGGGAGGAGGGAAUGUCCACCUGGUCAGCUCCUGGUCAGGGACAUUGCAGCAGUGACCUUGGGAAGAGGCGUGACUGUCCCUGGUGUCCCAGACAGAUGGGUAUGGAUUGGGUGGGAUUAAACCUUCCUCCCCAG
rnacentral:lncRNA from 12 species